GAACAAUGAAGUAAAUGUCGCCGUUUAGUUUGAAAAGCAAGCGAGCGGAUUUAUCGAAAAAAUCCAUGCAUUUCCUCUACUUUUAAAAUAAAAAAGGUUGCACCUGAACUGCGUGAAAGUCUCAUAAUAUUCGUGUGGUAUUUAAACACCCAAUGGAUAAUACCCGACAAUGGGUUAAUCGAUCUCUGUCUAUGAUCGUCCGUGGCUUAACAUUGCUAGCUAACCCAGACUCUAAACACUGACCACUUAAUUUUAUCCGAAUGAUGAUUCGAUUUUCUACAAUUUUUAAAGACUUCGCUUUUUGAGCUAUUUUAUUUAAUAAAGUUUAAACAAAACAAGUUUUUUUUUCAUGGUAACUACACCGCAACUACACAUUUAAUACAUAUCAACUACAUAUGUAUGUAGUAUGGAAAUUUGUAUACCCUAUUUUCUUUAAAUUUUGUUACAAGCCAGUUUUCCAAGCUGCUUUGACAAUGAUUUUUUCUCAUAAUGUCAUGUUUUUUACCUAUUCAUAAAAUUGAUUUAAAAUAUUUGUAUCGUUCAAUUUACUGAAUGAGUUCGUUCCCGAAUUAUCAACUCGCUCUUUUAGUUCGUUAGUUCAGUUCCCCGAUCGAUACUAAUCGGCUAAAGAGAUCGGCUA
rnacentral:sRNA from 1 species